rnacentral:rRNA from 1 species
AUUGAACGCUGGCGGCAGGCUUAACACAUGCAAGUCGAGCGGUAACAUUUCUAGCUUGCUAGAAGAUGACGAGCGGCGGACGGGUGAGUAAUACUUAGGAAUCUACCUAGUAGUGGGGGAUAGCUCGGGGAAACUCGAAUUAAUACCGCAUACGACCUACGGGAGAAAGGGGGCAACUUGUUGCUCUCGCUAUUAGAUGAGCCUAAGUCGGAUUAGCUAGAUGGUGGGGUAAAGGCCUACCAUGGCGACGAUCUGUAGCUGGUCUGAGAGGAUGAUCAGCCACACCGGGACUGAGACACGGCCCGGACUCCUACGGGAGGCAGCAGUGGGGAAUAUUGGACAAUGGGGGAAACCCUGAUCCUGCCAUGCCGCGUGUGUGAAGAAGGCCUUUUGGUUGUAAAGCACUUUAAGCAGUGAAGAAGACUCUUCGGUUAAUACCCGGAGACGAUGACAUUAGCUGCAGAAUAAGCACCGGCUAACUCUGUGCCAGCAGCCGCGGUAAUACAGAGGGUGCAAGCGUUAAUCGGAAUUACUGGGCGUAAAGCGAGCGCAGGUGGCUUGAUAAGUCAGAUGUGAAAUCCCCGGGCUUAACCUGGGAACUGCAUCUGAUACUGUUAGGCUAGAGUAGGUGAGAGGAAGGUAGAAUUCCAGGUGUAGCGGUGAAAUGCGUAGAGAUCUGGAGGAAUACCGAUGGCGAAGGCAGCCUUCUGGCAUCAUACUGACACUGAGGCUCGAAAGCGUGGGUAGCAAACAGG